GAGGUGUUAGUUAAUUAAUAACGCCACCUUGUCGAGGUGAAAUAAUGAGCUUAAUCCUCAUACUCCUCU
rnacentral:tRNA from 1 species